AAUGUCAACCCGUGAAUAAGUACGGCCACAGCUCUGAAUGGCCACAGCUCUGGUAUAGAUUCGAAUCAUCGAGCAAGUCGACUCGAUUCGGCUAGCUCAAGCUGGGAGGCUAAGCUAGGCUCGGCUCGGCUCGCCCUUCCUCCGAAUAACGACCAAAGUAUAUUCGGUGUUCCGAGCAAGGUAGUGAUCUAUUCUUUGGUAGCAAAACGUGCGAUAAAUAGAGAGACUUGAGUUUUGUGGGGGAGAGAGAGAGAGAGAGAGAGAGACAGAGAUGGAUUUGGAGACAGUGGGAGACCUGGCCUUGCACAUUAUACUGACGAAGUUAGGUGCCAAAUACACUGCCGUAACCGCUUGCGUCAGCAAGAAGCUGAGGUCUUUUGCCUCGGAGGAUUCCCUUUGGUUCAAGUUCUGCUCCCAAGAUCUUGAUCUCAAUCAGCCUAUUGACCCUCUCGGAAACCCUACCCCUUCUUUCAAGGUGUCUUAUAAAAUAUGGCGGGAAGCUUUCAGUAUGUAUCCUUGGCUGCUGGUCAUACGAGUUAAAAGAUGUUGGGGGAGACUUAACAACUGGUUAGACAUUAAUUUUCCAGAGGCUAAGGCUACACUUCGCACGGGUGUAUCAGAAGCUGAUAUUCAGGAGUUUGAGAGGAUAUUGAAAGUGAAAUUGCCGCUUCCCACAAGGAUCCUUUAUCGUUUUUGUGAUGGCCAAGAAUUUACUUCCGGACCUUUAGUAAGUGCACAGGGAAGUUCAUUGGGUCUCAUAGGUGGCUAUUCUUUUUAUGACCACCUUAUAAAUGUGUAUUUGUUACCUUUAAAUGAGGUGAUUUCCAAUACAAAGGUAAUUUUGCGUCACCCAAGUUUCUCCAGCAGAUCAAAGUAUAUUGUUGUGGCUGCUUCUUCCACGCAUGUUAAAAAGUUCUUUUUCCUCAACUGUACCACCGGUCAACUCCAUGUUGGUACAGAAAAUCUUCCAAUUAAUGGAGGAAUGCUUCCAUGCGUGCCAAAUGCACUGAUAAAUUCAGUGCUCGAUUUCAAUGAUGAUCAACAGCAGGAUGCUAUGCUGUUAUGGUUAGAAGAACAUGGUCGUCGCUUAGAAAAUGGCGUCAUUAAACUCCAUGAAGAGGGUGGUAUCAGAAGCAUCAGUUUGUUUCCAGAGGAACCUCCACUCUGUUCCACUGCUGUAACCAAUGGGGUUAAAGUUCGUGCAUCUACCGUGUUUAUUCCGGAGUCAACUGAUCUUCAAAUUGAUAAUCAGAGGUAUGCAUUUUCUUAUUCAAUCCGCAUGUCCCUUCUGCCCGAAGGAUGCGUAAUUCAUGGAGUACCCUUUAGUUCAUGUCAACUGCAUCGGAGGCACUGGAUCAUCCAUGCUAAUGACCAUAAAGUAUCUGAUGUUAAUGCUGAAGCAGUAAUAGGAAAGUGAUGAAGGUAAAAAUCAGCAAUAAAUUUAUGUAAGCUUGUGAUGAAGGGGACAGACAACUAUAGAGUAGUUCUCCUGGGACAAGGUUAAGCUAUUGAGGCUUGUUGAAGUGAUUUGCUAAUUAGGAAAAGAUAAAAACCUGAUGCGGAUGGCAUGCUGAAACCCAUGAAAAUUGCUUGAUGGAUGAACAUAAGAGUACUUGGAUGAGAAUGAGAAAGGUCAAUGCUCCUCUUGCUCUAAUGGCCCUACCUGACCAAAAUAACAUCUUAUUUUCUGGCCUGGGAGCAAAGUAAAUUUUUUUGUGAGCACCAUCACUUUCAUGAUUAACCCUCUCAUCUAAUAUCUGAAGCUGAAUUCAUGUGGAAGAUGGAGUAGAAAUCCGGCUGGGAGGCUGAGAUCAGGGAGGCAUCAGCCCAGCUCAGCAAGGCCAGAUUAACAGUGCUGAUAUGAAGCAAACCAGGAAAAUGACUAAUUGUUAUGACAUGAAAGAUUCACUUCUUACCCAUUGAAAAUAUUGAUCUCAGCUUCUUGGUUCUCUUGAAAUCUCUAGUUUCCACUUUUGCUUCCAGGUGCGAAAGAAUUUGUUUAUGAGAGUUGUGCACCUCUACCGACUUCUUCAGGUUCCAUAGAGGGCUCUUUCACAUUUGUCCCUGGCAGAUUAACUGACCCAAAAGGUGCU